rnacentral:rRNA from 1 species
AGUCGAGGGGCAGCAUAAAUUACUUGUAAUUUGAUGGCGACCGGCGAACGGGUGCGUAACGCGUAUGCAACUUACCUUUUACUAGAGAAUAGCCAAGAGAAAUUUUGAUUAAUGCUCUAUACUCUUAAUAACUCACAUGAGUUUAUAAGAAAAGCUCCGGCGGUAAAAGAUGGGCAUGCGUCCUAUUAGCUUGUAGGUGAGGUAACGGCUCACCUAAGCUCCGAUAGGUAGGGGUCCUGAGAGGGAGAUCCCCCACACUGGUACUGAGACACGGACCAGACUUCUACGGAAGGCAGCAGUAAGGAAUAUUGGACAAUGGAGGAAACUCUGAUCCAGCCAUGCCGCGUGAAGGAAGACGGCCUUAUGGGUUGUAAACUUCUUUUAUACAGGAAGAAACCUUUCCACGUGUGGAAAGUUGACGGUACUGUAAGAAUAAGGAUCGGCUAACUCCGUGCCAGCAGCCGCGGUAAUACGGAGGAUCCAAGCGUUAUCCGGAAUUAUUGGGUUUAAAGGGUCCGCAGGCUGUUUGUUAAGUCAGAGGUGAAAUCCUACCGCUCAACGGUAGAACUGCCUUUGAUACUGGCAAACUUGAGUUAUUGUGAAGUAGUUAGAAUGUGUAGUGUAGCGGUGAAAUGCAUAGAUAUUACACAGAAUACCGAUUGCGAAAGCAGAUUACUAACAAUUAACUGACGCUGAGGGACGAAAGCGUGGGUAGCGAACAGGAUUAGAUACCCUGGUAGUCCACGCCGUAAACGAUGGUCACUAGCUGUUCGAUGUACAUUGGUACAUUGAGUGGCUAAGCGAAAGUGAUAAGUGACCCACCUGGGGAGUAC